UGCCAGCCGCCGCGGUAAUACGAAGGGGGCUAGCGUUGUUCGGAAUUACUGGGCGUAAAGAGCAUGUAGGCGGAUGAAUUAGUCAGAGGUGAAAGCCCCGAGCUCAACUUGGGAACUGCCUUUGAUACUGUUUAUCUAGAGUCCGAGAGAGGUAGAAGUUCCGGUGUAGCGGUGAAAUGCGUAGAGAUCGGAAGGAAUACCGGUGGCGAAGGCGGCCUCCUGGACCAAUAUUGACGCUGAGGUGCGAAAGCGUGGGGAGCAAACAGGAUUAGAUA
rnacentral:rRNA from 1 species